rnacentral:misc_RNA from 1 species
UUGACUUAUUUGAUAAGUUACUCAGAGAGGCCUAUAAAAACAGAGUUUUGGGGUACCGCCGGCGGGCAGCCCCAGAGGGCCGGCGCCGCCGAGGCAACGGUUACAGGUAACGUUCGCGAUGGUGUAAAGGGAGUUUUGCAACUCUUUAAUGAUCCCUCCGCUGGUUCACCUACGGAAA